rnacentral:rRNA from 1 species
UCUACGGAGUCCGAAGUGGUCGAUGCCACGCUUCCAGGAAAAGCCUCUAAGCUUCAGUUACAAACAAACCGUACCGUAAACCGACACAGGUGGGUGGGUAGAGAAUACCAAGGCGCUUGAGAGAACUCGGGUGAAGGAACUAGGCAAAAUGGCACCGUAACUUCGGGAGAAGGUGCGCCGGUGAGGGUGAAGCAUUUACUGCGUAAGCCCAUGCCGGUCGAAGAUACCAGUCCCCUGCAACUGUUUAUUAAAAACACAGCACUCUGCAAACACGAAAGUGGACGUAUAGGGUGUGACGCCUGCCCGGUGCCGGAAGGUUAAUUGAUGGGGUUAGCGCAAGCGAAGCUCUUGAUCGAAGCCCCGGUAAACGGCGGCCGUAACGAUAACGGUCCUAAGGUAGCGAAAUUCCUUGUCGGGUAAGUUCCGACCUGCACGAAUGGCGUAAUGAUGGGGGAGCUGUCUCCACCCGAGACUCAGUGAAAUUGAAAUCGCUGUUAAGAUGCAGUGUACCCGCGGCUAGACGGAAAGACCCCGUGAACCUUUACUGUAGCUUUGCACUGAACUUUGAACCUAUCUGUGUAGGAUAGGUGGGAGGCUUUGAAGUUAGGACGCUAGUUCUAAUGGAGCCGUCCUUGAAAUACCACCCUGGUAUGUUUGAGGUUCUAACCACGGCCCAUAAUCUGGGCUUGGGACAGUGUAUGGUGGGCAGUUUGACUGGGGCGGUCUCCUCCAAAAGAGUAACGGAGGAGCACGAAGGUUGGCUAAUCCUGGUCGGACAUCAGGAGGUUAGUGUAAUGGCACAAGCCAGCUUAACUGCGAGACAGACACGUCGAGCAGGUACGAAAGUAGGUCAUAGUGAUCCGGUGGUUCUGUAUGGAAGGGCCAUCGCUCAACGGAUAAAAGGUACUCCGGGGAUAACAGGCUGAUACCGCCCAAGAGUUCACAUCGACGGCGGUGUUUGGCACCUCGAUGUCGGCUCAUCACAUCCUGGGGCUGAAGUCGGUCCCAAGGGUAUGGCUGUUCGCCAUUUAAAGUGGUACGCGAGCUGGGUUUAGAACGUCGUGAGACAGUUCGGUCCCUAUCUGCCGUGGGCGUUUGAGAUUUGAGAAGCGUUGCUCCUAGUACGAGAGGACCGGAGUGAACGAACCUCUGGUGUUCCGGUUGUCACGCCAGUGGCAUCGCCGGGUAGCUAUGUUCGGACAGGAUAACCGCUGAAAGCAUCUAAGCGGGAAACCUCCUUCAAGAUGAGAUCUCACCG